rnacentral:miRNA from 1 species
UGCUGUCCCUCUGUCCCCAAG